CCCAGCUCGUCAUGCUAGAGCACUUUUUCAAUGUGCUCCCCAACGAGAAGGCGACGACGCAUUCAUAUGUCAAUCCAUAUCAACUUUCGAUGCCAUUGACUGCGCCUACCAUGGUGACCACGGGUAAUGGGGAAUCAGGGUUCGAUUCUGUACAGGGACCCUGAUAAAUAGCUAUCACAUGCAAGGAAGGCAGCAGGCCCGCACAUGACCCACUCCCAAUGCGGGAAGGUAGUGACG